rnacentral:SRP_RNA from 1 species
UUGCGCUAGGCGGGAAGCUAGCGGUGUCCUGUCACCCGAAAUCCGCUUAAUGCGGGGCUGAAUUCCCUUUAGAGAGCCCAUAGUUCCAUGUCUCAAGAGUUGUUCCUGGUUGGGCACCACGCAACGGGCUGUCACGAAUCCCGUCAGGUCCGGGAGGAAGCAGCGGUAAGUGGUCCAGCCUGUGUCGUGGGGUGGCUCCGGCCAAAUUAUGACAACUCGAGGUGGCUUGGAAAGGGUUCGACGAAGGGUGCGCAA